rnacentral:rRNA from 1 species
UACGUAGGGUGCGAGCGUUAAUCGGAAUUACUGGGCGUAAAGCGUGCGCAGGCGGUUUUGUAAGCCAGAUGUGAAAUCCCCGGGCUUAACCUGGGAAUGGCAUUUGGGACUGCAAGGCUUGAGUGCGGCAGAGGAGACGUAGAAUUCCUGGUGUAGCAGUGAAAUGCGUAGAUAUCAGGAGGAACACCGAUGGCGAAGGCAGGUCUCUGGGCCGUAACUGACGCUGAGGAGCGAAAGCAUGGGGAGCGAACAGG